UCUGCUAUUGUUUACUUUGAACCUUAUCGCAUACUUUUUCCAAGAACUAUGAUUUUCUACAUCUCCAGAGCAACUAUGAAUCCUACAAGAAACACAGCAGUUUGGUCAUCUGAAGAAUUAAGUAAAUUUUCGUUUGAAGGUCAUCAUAUGAUUUCAAAUACAUUUAUAUGCCAACAGUUAUUUUUCUGCAGUUGAAAACUCAAAGUAUAAAAGAAGAACCAAAUUGACUGACGAGCAUCUACAAUUCCUGGAAACGGACGCUUCUGAAUACACAAAUGAAAACUGCAAAUUGGACACUUCAUUCCUAGACAAAGGAAGUUAUAAACAUUUAUUUCCUUAGAGCACAAAAGUGAACCAGCAGCGAAACAAUGCGUAUACAAACUUUUCUUCCCAAGUGAAUGACGAGUGCACGCAGAAAGCCUGAUGCAAUCAAGCAAGCUCUUUCUUUUUUGAAAGCUGUUUUAAAGUUGUCACAAAGUAUAUGAGGCCUCACCCUUCAUUCGAAGAUGUUCUUUAGACGGUCGUUGCUCUAUUCCUUUUCACUUUCACGUUUUGAGAAUGGAGAAAAGCACAUGUUUAUCCUCAGGAAGAAAGUCCAGCCUGACGUUCUUGAACCGAAAGGGCUUGAGAGUUUUCCUUCAGGACAAGACCAAGACCUGUUUCCUUUUUAUCCACAAGGUUAACUGUACUUGCGAAAUAGUAAACAGUUCGUUGUGGUCACAAAGGAAUGGAGCUGAGCGUUCUUUUUUGAACGCAAAGAAAAGCACAAAGGUUAACCCAUAUUUUCGGGGUUGAAAUGUUUACAAAGAACAUUAAAUAGCUGUCUGGUAUUUGUAAUGGAAAAUACGGCAGUGUAAUGUGCGCACGUGUUUGCAAUUAAUUAAAAGGGAUGUUUUGAAUGCUUUAGGGACGGGAACUCCAAGAAGAGCCUUAAUUAAUCCUUCGAUGAAUUGUUAGAAUAUAUCCUUAAUGAGACUCUUUUUGUUUAAUAUUAGAACUAGAUUUCAUUAAAAGGAUCAAAAGUUUGCGAAAAUAAAAUAUCAAAGUUAGGAACUUUUUAAAAGGUUGAUUUACAAAGCAUUCAUAAAUGAUAUGAAUUUCAUUUUACGUAUAUUUUACAUUAUUUUACUUCAUAUUCCGAAUUUUAAUAUCCAUAUAAAAUGAAUACAUACAAAAUUAAUAAUGAAAAUGAUAGUAACUUGUAAUUGUGCUGGCUUCUUGAAAUCCUGUUGGAUAUAUCAUAGUUCUGAAUAUUAUGAGGGAUUUGCUUAAAACCAGGUGUACGUAGCGCAGUGCCAAAUGAACUCACCCAUCUAGAGGAAGGGGGAAGCGUUAAACUAUUAUUAAGAAAUUUAAUAUUCUAACUAAAUAGAGAGCAUGUUCGAAAAGAAAAUUGAGACAAUGUACAAAUAAAAUAAAUGAAGUUUACAAAUGGUUCCCUAAAAUAAGCUUUUACUUAAAAUGCAUAAAAAUCAUCUACAAUCUUAUAUCAUGAAUAACAAAUGCGUCCGGAGCCCUUGAGAGUUGACAACGAUAUCAUUUACACAUUUUUACACAUACUUUUCAGCUUAUACGUUUGAUCAUGCAAUUCGAUUCGUAGAUUAAUCGUUAUUUUUGACGCCUGUGCUUUUAUUAUUCGCGUUAUUAUAUUCGCGUAGAUACAUUUUGUAAAGAUAGUUAUGUAAUCUCUUUUCUCCAUUAAAUUACAUGAU